rnacentral:rRNA from 1 species
GAUGAACGCUGGCGGCGUGCUUAACACAUGCAAGUCGAACGAUGAAGCCCAGCUUGCUGGGUGGAUUAGUGGCGAACGGGUGAGUAACACGUGAGUAACCUGCCCUUGACUCUGGGAUAAGCCUGGGAAACGGGGUCUAAUACUGGAUAUGACUUCUCAUCGCAUGGUGGGGGGUGGAAAGAUUUAUUGGUCUUGGAUGGACUCGCGGCCUAUCAGCUUGUUGGUGGGGUAAUGGCUCACCAAGGCGACGACGGGUAGCCGGCCUGAGAGGGUGACCGGCCCCGCUGGGACUGAACUACGGCCCAGCCUCCUACGGGAGGCAGCGGUGGGGAAUAUUGCACAAUGGACGCAAGCCUGAUGCAGCGACGCCGCGUGAGGGAUGACGGCCUUCGGGUUGUAAACCUCUUUCAGUAGGGAAGAAGCGAGAGUGACGGUACCUGCAGAAGAAGCGCCGGCUAACUACGUG